rnacentral:lncRNA from 1 species
CCUUACUUAACGAAAGAAAUUUAAUCUUCCAGUUUCAACCCCGUUUGGUCACCGAAAGCUGUACCGAACUGUAAUCUUUAUCAGAUAACUGUCGAAUUUUAUUUUUCACCUUCCGGGUGUCAGAAUGACAUGAAACCUUAAAUCUAGCCUCAUAAAAAUAAUUCUGACAUAUUCCCAGAUUUUCAGAAUUUUCUGACACUGUGCAUUUUCAGCUAAAAUAACAGCCUCGAUUCACACAGAAAAUUCUCAAUCUUCUAUUUUCACUCCGAUUUCCGCACGAGUCAAUCCUGACGUAAAAUUUACUUAUCUAAAUUCAAUAAAAAUAGUAUCUCACACUAUUUUUAUUUAUAUUCACUUUUAUUAAAAAAAAAUCCGGUAUGCUACAACGGAGGUUCGAGUCCUCCGUUAUUAAAGAAUUUUGGUUGUGAGUCAUUAGGGUUAACAUGGUUAACU